AUUCCACUGUGUUGACACUUUUUGACAAUCUCCUUAAACCUCUCCCAAGAUUUAAAUACAGUUUCAGUCUUGUUCUGGUAAAAGUUAUAGAUUUCUCUUCUAAACUU
rnacentral:snoRNA from 1 species